rnacentral:rRNA from 1 species
AGUCGAACGAUGAUGCCCAGCUUGCUGGGCGGAUUAGUGGCGAACGGGUGAGUAAUACGUGAGUAACCUGCCCUUGACUCUGGGAUAAGCCUGGGAAACUGGGUCUAAUACUGGAUACUACCGUCCAUCGCAUGGUGGGUGGUGGAAAGGGUUUUACUGGUUUUGGAUGGGCUCACGGCCUAUCAGCUUGUUGGUGGGGUAAUGGCUCACCAAGGCGACGACGGGUAGCCGGCCUGAGAGGGUGACCGGCCACACUGGGACUGAGACACGGCCCAGACUCCUACGGGAGGCAGCAGUGGGGAAUAUUGCACAAUGGGCGGAAGCCUGAUGCAGCGACGCCGCGUGAGGGAUGACGGCCUUCGGGUUGUAAACCUCUUUCAGUAGGGAAGAAGCGAGAGUGACGGUACCUGCAGAAGAAGCGCCGGCUAACUACGUGCCAGCAGCCGCGGUAAUACGUAGGGCGCAAGCGUUGUCCGGAAUUAUUGGGCGUAAAGAGCUCGUAGGCGGUUUGUCGCGUCUGCUGUGAAAGCCCGGGGCUCAACCCCGGGUCUGCAGUGGGUACGGGCAGACUAGAGUGCAGUAGGGGAGACUGGAAUUCCUGGUGUAGCGGUGAAAUGCGCAGAUAUCAGGAGGAACACCGAUGGCGAAGGCAGGUCUCUGGGCUGUUACUGACGCUGAGGAGCGAAAGCAUGGGGAGCGAACAGGAUUAGAUACCCUGGUAGUCCAUGCCGUAAACGUUGGGCACUAGGUGUGGGGGACAUUCCACGUUUUCCGCGCCGUAGCUAACGCAUUAAGUGCCCCGCCUGGGGAGUACGGCCGCAAGGCUAAAACUCAAAGGAAUUGACGGGGGCCCGCACAAGCGGCGGAGCAUGCGGAUUAAUUCGAUGCAACGCGAAGAACCUUACCAAGGCUUGACAUUCACCGGACCGCCCCAGAGAUGGGGUUUCCCUUCGGGGCUGGUGGACAGGUGGUGCAUGGUUGUCGUCAGCUCGUGUCGUGAGAUGUUGGGUUAAGUCCCGCAACGAGCGCAACCCUCGUUCUAUGUUGCCAGCACGUGAUGGUGGGGACUCAUAGGAGACUGCCGGGGUCAACUCGGAGGAAGGUGGGGAUGACGUCAAAUCAUCAUGCCCCUUAUGUCUUGGGCUUCACGCAUGCUACAAUGGCCGGUACAAAGGGUUGCGAUACUGUGAGGUGGAGCUAAUCCCAAAAAGCCGGUCUCAGUUCGGAUUGAGGUCUGCAACUCGACCUCAUGAAGUCGGAGUCGCUAGUAAUCGCAGAUCAGCAACGCUGCGGUGAAUACGUUCCCGGGCCUUGUACACACCGCCCGUCAAGUCACGAAAGUUGGUAACACCCGAAGCCGGUGGCCUAACCCCUUGUGGGAGGGAGCCGUCGAAGGUGGGACUGGCGAU